GGUCUUGUAGUUGAAAAACAACAGUGAGUUGCAGCCUCAAAAGUGGAGGCGAGUCUCCUAAGAUCU
rnacentral:tRNA from 1 species